CCUACGGGUGGCUGCAGUGAGGAAUAUUGGUCAAUGGGCGCGAGCCUGAACCAGCCAAGUAGCGUGAAGGAUGACUGCCCUACGGGUUGUAAACUGCUUUUAUAAAGGAAUAAAGUGAGGCACGUGUGCCUGUUUGAAGGUACUUUAUGAAUAAGGAUCGGCUAACUCCGUGCCAGCAGCCGCGGUAAUACGGAGGAUGCGAGCGUUAUCCGGAUUUAUUGGGUUUAAAGGGAGCGUAGAUGGGCUGUUAAGUCAGUUGUGAAAGUUUGCGGCUCAACCGUGAAAUUGCAUUUGAUACUGGUAGUCUUGAGUAUAGUUGAGGUAGGCGGAAUGCGUGGUGUAGCGGUGAAAUGCUUAGAGAUCACGAAGAACACCGAUUGCGAAGGCAGCUUACUAAGCUGCCACUGACAUUGAGGCUCGAAAGUGUGGGGAUCAAACAGGAUUAGAUACCCGAGUAGUC
rnacentral:rRNA from 1 species